GGGCUGAAAUUGUGAAAAGAAAACUACAUCUGGACGAUUUGGGCCUCAAAAUUGAGCCCGAUAUGCAGACAACAGUCCAAGAUCACGCUUAGAGUGAUCUUUACCAAACCAUUCGUUUUGGCCUAUUCAUGGCCCAAUUCAUUAAUGAAACACACUGAUCUUCUGAAUAUACUUACAGCAAAAUACAUACGUUUGAAAGCUACAAUUAACUAUCAAUGACUGAACAUCCCUAAAUAAUCAUACAGAAUAAAUAACUAAAGAAAAAUAAAUUUAUACAAUCUUUAAUCGUAAUAGCUAAGUAAUUUGACUACUCAUUUAAAGAAAGCUCAAGAAAACGAUCCAUCCUUUGCUAAGACAACAUACUUCCUCCCUGGAGACUUGUGAUUCAAAACAUUGCUGAGAUUUGCAAGACUAGCUAUAAAGCUAACUUGCAAAUCUGCAUUUGAUCCGUUAUGGCAGCAGGCCAACAAAAGCAAAGUUAGUACCAUUACCAACCUUCAUUGGUGUCAACACACAAGGAAAAGCUUAACCAAAAUAUCCAGAUCCCUUUUUAUACUACCUUACAGGUUCCCUUAGUUAAUUUACCAACAAAAAAAAAGAACAUAAAAUGAGAAAACACUUUCAGCCUUCACAUGGAUCCUUAUAGACUACUUUAAGCAUGUUGAACUUCCACAUUCUAAUAUAAAGCUUGAAGGCAAAUUUUAAACUUAAACGUGUAGGAAGAAGAGAGGUCACAGAUGAUUAUCAACUCAUAUAACAAGAGUCACACUGACUUUUAAAUAAAGAUCUGAAUCAUAUUCAUACUAGCUUACCAAUGUUCACAUGAAAUCCAUUCCUUAAACAAUCAUUCCAUUUCAAAAAAAAAACAUUGCACAUGAAAGGAACUGGAAAGAGUACCUUGAAAGAGCAAUAACAGGAAAAAAAAACCACGUAAUAUGAAGAGAAACCCAGCAACAAUGACUCAACACAGCUGCAGGGAUCAGUGAUGAAACAACCCCAGCAAACCAGAAAUCCUUUGAAACUUUUAAGUUCUUCUAACAGUGAAAAUCCAAGAGUAAUUCCAACCAAUUUUUAGCCAAAAUGAUGCAGAAACUUUUGAGUGUUUUU
rnacentral:lncRNA from 1 species